rnacentral:rRNA from 1 species
GAUGAACGCUGGCGGCGUGCCUAAUACAUGCAAGUCGAGCGAACAGACGAGGAGCUUGCUCCUCUGACGUUAGCGGCGGACGGGUGAGUAACACGUGGAUAACCUACCUAUAAGACUGGGAUCACUUCGGGAAACCGGAGCUAAUACCGGAUAAUAUAUUGAACCGCAUGGUUCAAUAGUGAAAGACGGUUUUGCUGUCACUUAUAGAUGGAUCCGCGCCGCAUUAGCUAGUUGGUAAGGUAACGGCUUACCAAGGCAACGAUGCGUAGCCGACCUGAGAGGGUGAUCGGCCACACUGGAACUGAGACACGGUCCAGACUCCUACGGGAGGCGGCAGUAGGGAAUCUUCCGCAAUGGGCGAAAGCCUGACGGAGCAACGCCGCGUGAGUGAUGAAGGUCUUCGGAUCGUAAAACUCUGUUAUUAGGGAAGAACAAAUGUGUAAGUAACUAUGCACGUCUUGACGGUACCUAAUCAGAAAGCCACGGCUAACUACGUG